CCUACGGGUGGCUGCAGUAACGAAUAUUGGGCAAUGGGCGCAAGCCUGACCCAGCAAUGCCGCGUGUGGGAGGAAGUCCCUCGGGAUGUAAACCACUUUUAGGGGUGGACAAGCAAUGCGGGUGAACAAUCCGCAAAGUUGAGUUGCCCCAGAAAAAGCCUCGGCUAACUCUGUGCCAGCAGCCGCGGUAAGACAGAGGAGGCAAGCGUUGUUCGGAAUCAUUGGGCUUAAAGGGCGUGCAGGCGGCGGCGCAAGUGUCGAGUGAAAUCCCAUCGCUCAACGAUGGAACGGCUCGGCAAACUGCGUCGCUUGAGGUCGGUAGAGGUGCUCGGAACUCUAGGUGGAGCGGUGAAAUGCGUAGAUAUCUAGAGGAACGCCUGAGGCGAAAGCGGGGCACUGGGCCGAUUCUGACGCUGAGACGCGAAAGCGUGGGGAGCAAA
rnacentral:rRNA from 1 species